rfam:Clostridium sp. CAG:127 genomic scaffold, scf129
UAUGUUUGGAAUUUAGAAGUUCUUGAUGUUCUGUUUGAUACACAGCAAUAUCUGAACACGAUGUUCAGGUAAGCCGCCACUGAGCCAUGGACGGCGAAUUGGCGGCGGUGGCGUAUAAUAUGAUUUGUGAAUUAGAACAUUUAGAACUUCUUAACUUCAAUACAU